CAGAAAAUAGUUUAUAUAAAAUAGUAGUUUUGGAGAUUAAAGAAGUUUUGGCUUUUCUGA
rnacentral:tRNA from 1 species